UACGUAGGGGGCAAGCGUUAUCCGGAUUUACUGGGUGUAAAGGGAGCGUAGGCGGCGAUGCAAGUCAGAAGUGAAAGCCCGGGGCUCAACUCCGGGACUGCUUUUGAAACUGUGUUGCUAGAUUGCAGGAGAGGUAAGUGGAAUUCCUAGUGUAGCGGUGAAAUGCGUAGAUAUUAGGAGGAACACCAGUGGCGAAGGCAGCAUACCGGCGCGCAACUGACGCUCAUGCACGAAAGCGUGGGUAUCGAACAGG
rnacentral:rRNA from 1 species